rnacentral:rRNA from 1 species
UUACGCUGUUAUCCCUAAGGUAAUUUAGUCUUAUAAUCACUAAAAAUGGAUCAAAAAUUAUAAACUAAAUAUAAGAAAAUAAAAAGAGUUAUAUUAAUCUUCCCAUCACCCCAACAAAAUUCAAUUAAUACUAAAAAUUUUAUCCCACAAAAAAUAAAAAUUAAAUUAAACUCUAUAGGGUCUUCUCGUCCCAAAAAAAUAUUUAGGCAUUUUAACCUAAAAUUUAAAUUCAAUAAAAUACCACUAAGAAAGUUAAUACCUCGUCAAACCAUUCAUACAAGCCUCCAUUUAAAAAACUAAUUAUUAUGCUACCUUUGCACAGUUAAAAUACUGCGGCCUUUCAAUAAACUACCAACGGGCAGGCCCUAUUUCCUAUAUAUAUAUAUAAAUUGGCAGGAAAAGAUGUUUUUGUUAAACAGGUG